UCUCACAUCAUAAAGCAACAUAGUUUUAAUGUGUGGUGUUGUCUGUGCAGUUAAUGGAAGCACGUGCACCUGAGGCGCAGCGUCCACUGGUUCCUCAGCCUCGCCCGCCUCACUUCUAUGACCAGUACACAGACAGGCCCUAUGGAUUGCCGCGUGCAAUGGGGGGACAUCCACCAUUCCGUGCUGAACAGAGACACUCACCAUCACCUCUGAUGUUUGCAGAGCUGCAGCCUGCUCGAAAUCCACCUUUGCCUGUUGUUUACGGAGAGGUCCGUGCACAAAGUCCUUUUCAAGAAAGGGCAGAAGGUUG